UCUCCGGUGGCCUUGCAGCUAAGGCUCCAGCAUUGUCACUGCUGUGGCUCAGGUUCGAUCCCUGGCAUGGGAA
rnacentral:tRNA from 1 species